CACGUAGGGCGCAAGCGUUGUCCGGAAUUAUUGGGCGUAAAGAGCUCGUAGGCGGUCUGCCGCGUCCGCUGUGAAAACCUAGGGCUUAACCCUGGGCUUGCAGUAGAUACGGGCAGACUAGAGGUAGGUAGGGGAGAAUGGAAUUCCCGGUGUAGCGGUGAAAUGCGCAGAUAUCGGGAGGAACACCGGUGGCGAAGGCGGUUCUCUGGGCCUUACCUGACGCUGAGGAGCGAAAGCGUGGGGAGCAAACAGG
rnacentral:rRNA from 1 species